GUUAUAGGGUCAAGCGAACAAGUGCAUGUGGUGGAUGCCUUGGCGAUCACAGGCGAUGAAGGACGCGGUAGCCUGCGAAAAGCUACGGGGAGCUGGCAAACGAGCUUUGAUCCGUAGAUGUCCGAAUGGGGAAACCCACUCCUUUUGGAGUAUCCAUGGCUGAAUACAUAGGCCAUGUGAAGCGAACGCGGUGAACUGAAACAUCUAAGUAACCGCAGGAAAAGAAAUCAACCGAGAUUCCCAAAGUAGUGGCGAGCGAAAUGGGAUGAGCCUUGCACUCUUUAUUUGUAUUGUUAGCCGAACGCUCUGGAAAGUGCGGCCAUAGCAGGUGAUAGCCCUGUAGGCGAAAACAGUAUGAAAGAACUAGGUGUGCGACAAGUAGGGCGGGACACGUGAAAUCCUGUCUGAAGAUGGGGGGACCAUCCUCCAAGGCUAAAUACUCGUGAUCGACCGAUAGUGAACCAGUACCGUGAGGGAAAGGCGAAAAGAACCCCGGGAGGGGAGUGAAAUAGAUCCUGAAACCGCAUGCAUACAAACAGUCGGAGCCUCGCAAGGGGUGACGGCGUACCUUUUGUAUAAUGGGUCAGCGACUUACGUUCAGUAGCAAGCUUAACCGUAUAGGGCAGGCGUAGCGAAAGCGAGUCCGAAUAGGGCGUUCAGUUGCUGGGCGUAGACCCGAAACCAGGUGAUCUAUCCAUGGCCAGGAUGAAGGUGCGGUAACACGUACUGGAGGUCCGAACCCACUAACGUUGAAAAGUUAGGGGAUGAGCUGUGGAUAGGGGUGAAAGGCUAAACAAACCUGGAAAUAGCUGGUUCUCUCCGAAAACUAUUUAGGUAGUGCCUCGUGUCUCACCUUCGGGGGUAGAGCACUGUCAUGGUUGGGGGGUCUAUUGCAGAUUACCCCGCCAUAGCAAACUCCGAAUACCGAAGAGUGCAAUCACGGGAGACAGACAUCGGGUGCUAACGUCCGGUGUCAAGAGGGAAACAACCCAGACCGCCAGCUAAGGUCCCCAAAUAUAGCUAAGUGGGAAACGAAGUGGGAAGGCUAAAACAGUCAGGAGGUUGGCUUAGAAGCAGCCACCCUUUAAAGAAAGCGUAAUAGCUCACUGAUCGAGUCGUCCUGCGCGGAAGAUGUAACGGGGCUAAGCUAUAUACCGAAGCUGCGGAUGCGAGCUUUGCUCGCAUGGUAGGAGAGCGUUCCGUAAGCCUGCGAAGGUGCCUUGUAAAGGGUGCUGGAGGUAUCGGAAGUGCGAAUGCUGACAUGAGUAGCGAUAAAGGGGGUGAAAGGCCCCCUCGCCGUAAGCCCAAGGUUUCCUACGCAACGUUCAUCGGCGUAGGGUGAGUCGGCCCCUAAGGCGAGGCAGAAAUGCGUAGCUGAUGGGAAGCAGGUCAAUAUUCCUGCACCAUUGUUAGAUGCGAUGGGGGGACGGAUCGCGGAAGGUUGUCCGGGUGUUGGAAGUCCCGGUCGCUGCAUUGGAGAAGGCGCUUAGGCAAAUCCGGGCGCGCAAUUCAAGGGUGUGGCGCGAGCUCCCUAGGGAGCGAAGCAAUUGGAAGUGGUUCCAAGAAAAGCCUCUAAGCUUCAGUCUAACGAUGACCGUACCGCAAACCGACACAGGUGGGCGAGAUGAGUAUUCUAAGGCGCUUGAGAGAACUCGGGAGAAGGAACUCGGCAAAUUGGUACCGUAACUUCGGGAUAAGGUACGCCCUUGUAGCUUGAUGCGCCUGCGCGCAGAGGGUGAAGGGGUUGCAAUAAACUGGUGGCUGCGACUGUUUAAUAAAAACACAGCACUCUGCAAACACGAAAGUGGACGUAUAGGGUGUGACGCCUGCCCGGUGCCGGAAGAUUAAAUGAUGGGGUGCAAGCUCUUGAUUGAAGUCCCGGUAAACGGCGGCCGUAACUAUAACGGUCCUAAGGUAGCGAAAUUCCUUGUCGGGU
rnacentral:rRNA from 1 species